rnacentral:rRNA from 1 species
UACGGGGGGGGCAAGCGUUGUUCGGAAUUACUGGGCGUAAAGGGCUCGUAGGCGGCCAACUAAGUCGGAUGUGAAAUCCCCAGGCUUAACCUGGGAACUGCAUCCGAUACUGGAUGGCUUGAAUCCGGGAGAGGGAUGCAGAAUUCCAGGUGUAGCGGUGAAAUGCGUAGAUAUCUGGAGGAAUACCGGUGGCGAAGGCGGCAUCCUGGACCGGCAUUGACGCUGAUGAGCGAAAGCUAGGGGAGCGAAUGGG